GAGUGAACGCUGGCGGUAGGCCUAACACAUGCAAGUCGAACGGCAGCACAGUAAGAGCUUGCUCUUACGGGUGGCGAGUGGCGGACGGGUGAGGAAUACAUCGGAAUCUACUUUUUCGUGGGGGAUAACGUAGGGAAACUUACGCUAAUACCGCAUACGACCUACGGGUGAAAGCAGGGGAUCUUCGGACCUUGCGCGAUUGAAUGAGCCGAUGUCGGAUUAGCUAGUUGGCGGGGUAAAGGCCCACCAAGGCGACGAUCCGUAGCUGGUCUGAGAGGAUGAUCAGCCACACUGGAACUGAGACACGGUCCAGACUCCUACGGGAGGCAGCAGUGGGGAAUAUUGGACAAUGGGCGCAAGCCUGAUCCAGCCAUACCGCGUGGGUGAAGAAGGCCUUCGGGUUGUAAAGCCCUUUUGUUGGGAAAGAAAAGCAGCAGGUUAAUACCCCGCUGUUCUGACGGUACCCAAAGAAUAAGCACCGGCUAACUCCGUG
rnacentral:rRNA from 1 species